rnacentral:rRNA from 1 species
GAUGAACGCUGGCGGCGUGCCUAAUACAUGCAAGUCGAGCGAACAGAUGAGGAGCUUGCUCCUCUGACGUUAGCGGCGGACGGGUGAGUAACACGUGGAUAACCUACCUAUAAGACUGGGAUAACUUCGGGAAACCGGAGCUAAUACCGGAUAAUAUAUUGAACCGCAUGGUUCAAUAGUGAAAGACGGUUUUGCUGUCACUUAUAGAUGGAUCCGCGCCGCAUUAGCUAGUUGGUAAGGUAACGGCUUACCAAGGCAACGAUGCGUAGCCGACCUGAGAGGGUGAUCGGCCACACUGGAACUGGAACACGGUCCAGACUCCUACGGGAGGCAGCAGUAGGGAAUCUUCGGAAAUGGGCGAAAGCCUGACGGAGCAGCGCCGCGUGAGUGAUGAAGGUCUUCGGAUCGUAAAACUCUGUUAUUAGGGAAGAACAAAUGUGUAAGUAACUAUGCACGUCUUGACGGUACCUAAUCAGAAAGCCACGGCUAACUACGUG